rnacentral:rRNA from 1 species
CCACAUUGGGACUGAGAUACGGCCCAGACUCCUACGGGAGGCAGCAGUGGGGAAUAUUGCACAAUGGGCGCAAGCCUGAUGCAGCGACGCCGCGUGCGGGAUGACGGCCUUCGGGUUGUAAACCGCUUUUGAUCGGGAGCAAGCCUUCGGGUGAGUGUACCUUUCGAAUAAGCACCGGCUAACUACGUGCCAGCAGCCGCGGUAAUACGUAGGGUGCAAGCGUUAUCCGGAAUUAUUGGGCGUAAAGGGCUCGUAGGCGGUUCGUCGCGUCCGGUGUGAAAGUCCAUCGCUUAACGGUGGAUCUGCGCCGGGUACGGGCGGGCUGGAGUGCGGUAGGGGAGACUGGAAUUCCCGGUGUAACGGUGGAAUGUGUAGAUAUCGGGAAGAACACCAAUGGCGAAGGCAGGUCUCUGGGCCGUUACUGACGCUGAGGAGCGAAAGCGUGGGGAGCGAACAGGAUUAGAUACCCUGGUAGUCCACGCCGUAAACGGUGGAUGCUGGAUGUGGGGCCCGUUCCACGGGUUCCGUGUCGGAGCUAACGCGUUAAGCAUCCCGCCUGGGGAGUACGGCCGCAAGGCUAAAACUCAAAGAAAUUGACGGGGGCCCGCACAAGCGGCGGAGCAUGCGGAUUAAUUCGAUGCAACGCGAAGAACCUUACCUGGGCUUGACAUGUUCCCGACAGCCGUAGAGAUGCGGCCUCCCUUCGGGGCGGGUUCACAGGUGGUGCAUGGUCGUCGUCAGCUCGUGUCGUGAGAUGUUGGGUUAAGUCCCGCAACGAGCGCAACCCUCGCCCUGUGUUGCCAGCACGUCAUGGUGGGAACUCACGGGGGACCGCCGGGGUCAACUCGGAGGAAGGUGGGGAUGACGUCAGAUCAUCAUGCCCCUUACGUCCAGGGCUUCACGCAUGCUACAAUGGCCGGUACAACGGGAUGCGACAUGGCGACAUGGAGCGGAUCCCUGAAAACCGGUCUCAGUUCGGAUUGGAGUCUGCAACCCGACUCCAUGAAGGCGGAGUCGCUAGUAAUCGCGGAUCAGCAACGCCGCGGUGAAUGCGUUCCCGGGCCUUGUACACACCGCCCGUCAAGUCAUGAAAGUGGGUAGCACCCGAAGCCGGUGGCCUAACCCCUUGUGGGAUGGAGCCGUCUAAGGUGAGACUCGUGAUUGGGACUAAGUCGUAACAAGGUAGCCGUACCGGAAGGUGCGGCUG